AGCCGAGCCGAAGGUAGUGAGUUGAUUGCUCACAGUCAGUUACAGAUCGAACUCUUUGUUCUGCUCUUUCAGCCUUCUCACUGCUGCAUUUACCUAGUCCUAA
ensembl:Y_RNA Y_RNA Y RNA